GAAGAGAAUCCGACUGGAUCCAAAAAGGUGGCCACCACAGUGGUCCAGGCGAGAGAGAAAGGCCUUAAUGGAGGCCGUGGAGGUGUUCUUUCAGAUGCCGGGUGACCGUCCAGUGCCACAAGCAGUGAGAGAGCCUUGAGAGUCUCGCUGGCGUGUCUUGAGGAAAACAAGAAUGGACUAGACCUCUUUAAAGUUGUGUUCAAGAUAGGAUUAAAAGUAAUA